CAGAUAGUUUCAGAGAGAAGAAAGAAAGAAAGAAAUUAAGAGUUACAAGAUAAACUACAAAGCCAAACUCAAGAACAUACUUAACUCUUAGUAAUCAGCUAUUAAUUAUAUCAACAACUCAUGGGAGGAAGAUCAGAGGUUUUUGGAGGGGGUGAUGAUUUAUUAAAAACCCUGCUGCCAAAAAUAAAGAAUCCAAAAGUAUGACCAGCAACAGCCACCAAAAACACACCUCCAUUAAAGGACAUAAUAGCAAGCAUCACCAAGAAAGCAAGCCCAACCCUGAUUGCAUGUAAAAGAGUCUGAAUCAAACCAGCAGCCACAUGAUUUGCAUCAGGCUUCAUCAAUUUGCAGUGAGAGAGCCACUCAACCAACACAGCCAACACAAACACAACAAUCAAAGCUAAGGCAUACAUUCCUGAGCUUGUUCCAGGCCAGCCUGAGAAGAGAAUUUCAGAGUUCUUGCCCCAGAAAAACGUCAUGUGCAUCAUGUUGUGAUGAUGCAUCAUCGUCCCUGUGUUAUUGGUGUUGUUCAUUGACAUGGGCGGUGACAUGCUUCCAUGAUCAUGAUGCAUGCCAUCCAUGGCUUUGCUAAUGUUUGCUGAUCUCUCUUGGGAGUCUUUUAUUGAAAGUUUCUUUCUUUCUUUCUUUCUUUCGGUGCUUUGAGGUAAUGAGAGACGGUAGGUUUCAUAUUUAUUUCUGUUAUAAGUAUGACUGUUUCAGCGAUUAAUGAGAGAUUGAUAGUACAUCGGGACUUGUAAUUUUCUGUACUGCACAAAGCUAAAUGGAGUUAUGGCCACAAUAACGUGCAAUAUUUGAAAUAGACGGCCGCGUUUUAUUAAUUUUUAUGGACAUUGAGAUACUCUAAAUUCUUUUAUAUACAUGUAUAGAAUUCAUUAAUAGAAGAGAGUAUAGGGUUCGAAACUCAAUCUUAUGGAUGAGGAUGAAAUUAAAUUAAUGUUUGGUUAAUUGAUACUAAAAAUAAAUAAAAGUAAUUACAUAGAGUUCAAGGCAUCAUUUGAAAUUACCGUUGAAACGUUAAAAAUAAUUUAUUUAUUUUUUAUUAAAAAAAUGAGUAAAUUUUUAAAGUUUGAUAUUAUUAUAAAGUUAUUUAUGUAAGUUGAUGUUAUUUUUUGAAGACAAUAAGACAUAUAUAAGCGUUUGGGUAUCUUAUAUUGUUAGUAUUAGAUGCUAUAAUAUAAAUCAUAACGGUAGAAUAUCAUAUUACCACAGUAAUCCCAAACUGAGGCUAAAUAUUAAUUUUUAAUAUAUAUGUAAACAAUCGGGAUUUACUAUUUAUUUUAAAAUGUAUAUUGUCCAUUGAGACAAAUUUUGGUGCUUGCGUCUCUUUUUCUCAAGGAAAAUUUAUUUGAGGGUUGGAUAAGAAUUAAGAGAGUAAUUGAAUUAUUUCUAAAAAAAAAGAGAGAGUAAUUGAAUUAUAAAUUUGUACUUUCUUAAUGUACAAAUUUGAUAGUACAGACUAACCGUCCUUAUCUGAUAUUAGAGGUUGAAAUUUUUUUGGUGAAAUGUGAGGGGUUAAAAUGUGUAGAAUAUAAUAUUUGAAAGAUCAACGUUUAAAAAAUAGUACUUGAUAUGUCAAAUCUGUAGAUGCAAUAGUUUUAAGGGAUUCAAAAUGAGGAGUUAAAAAAAAAGAAAAAAAAAAGAGUCUCUCUUAACCUGAAUUUAGCUAGAAAAUGAAACGACACCAAUUAUUGAUACGAUUUUCACAAAACUAAAUAGAUGUUAAGAUUAUGAUUAGCAAAUGCAAAGAUGCAUUUUAGUCCUGUCUAAUAGCAAAGUUUUCACAUUCAAUUGAGUGUAAUACAUAUAACAACGGAAGCUUUCAUUAAUAAGUUGUGUGUGGUGUAGCCGUGUAGGCAACAAACACACAGCACCAUUCACCAUUAAAUCUAAUUUACUUAGUUGAUUUCUCCCCCGCCACCCCCCCCCCCCCCCCCACCAAAAAAAAAGGCUUGAAUUACGCUUUCUGUCUUUUUUUUUUUUUUGGGUUUAUAGAUAUAAUGAGUUCCAUUAUUGGUGCUAUUGAAAAGUGGGAAAAUAAUCAUAAUUCUUAUAACAUUAAUAUUCCUUCUUUCAAUAUCGCAAUUACGUCCUUCUCUUUAUAGGUAAGGACAUUUUUGAAAUUACACCUUUUAAGAUAUUAGUUAAAUUAAUGUUUGUAAUAGGGAAGUUUUAUCCACCUCAGAUCAGAAAAUAGGCGCCAAUCUCCUUUCAUUUUCACACUAAAUGGUGUAUGUUGAUUCUGAUAUGGGGAAUUAACAAUUUCGCAAAAUGAAAACCCUCUUGCAAUCUCAGGCCUAUAGCCAUGUUUGCACCAUAUGCAAUCAAAUUGCUGAAAUCUAGUAAACUAAUAUUUUUUUUGGUUUUUGACUACGAGGUAUCCUGGAGAGGGCUUCAAUUGUGGGAGGCACUUUUAAACCCGUACCACAACCCAGACUAGAAGUUCCCGCUCGAACCGAGAGGCACAUAUUCUCCCAACAAAGACGACUUCCCUGCGACUCGAACUGGGGAGCAAACACAGUCAAGCCACUUAAAGGGACUCCAUUACCAGUGGAAACAACACUUUGUUGGUCUAGUAAACUAAAUAUUAAUAAACUGAAAUUUCUCCCCCAAAAUACGGUUCUUCAUAAUCAAUGUUUGGUUUUUUACAGAGUGUUUCAGAGAGAAGAAAGAAAGAAAGAGUUACAAGAUAAACUACAAAUUAAGCCCAAUCCAAGAACAUACUACAAUAAAUUAUGUAUGUCAACAACUCAAUUAAGGAAGACCACAGGUUUUUGGAGGGGGUGAUGAUUUAUUAAAAAACCUGCUACCAAAACUCGAGAACCCAAAAGUAUGACCAGCAACAGCCACCAAAAACACACUGCAUUAAAGGACAUGAUAGCAAGCAUCACGAAGAAAGCAAGACCAACCCUGAUUGCAUGCAGAAGAGUCUGAAUCAAACCAGCGGUUGCAUGAUUUGCACCAGGCUUCAUCAAUUUGCAAUGAGAGAGCCGCUCAACCAACACAGCCAACACAAACACAAGUAUCAAAGCUAACACAUACAUUCCUGGGCUUGUUCCAGGCCAGCCUGAGAAGAGAAUUUCAGAAUUCUUCCCCCAGAAAAACGUCAUGUGCGUCAUCGUGUUGUGAUGGUGCAUCAUCGUCCCUCUGUUGUUGGGAGGUGGCAUGCUCCCACGAUCAUGAUGCAUGCCAUCCAUGGCUUUGCUAAUAAUAUUGCUUGCUCUCUCUUUGGGGUCCUUUUGCAAAAGAUUGAAAGUUUCUU
rnacentral:lncRNA from 1 species